ACUAUUAUUUACCCACCCCGAAAAACAAAUUGUAUUGUAUAUAUAGAGAAUUAUAUAACCACUCACUGCCAAUUUGAAACCACAAUUAAACCUCUCAUUGUUCUGGAAAUCUCCCUCCCUCAACCAAAAAUUGGAAAAAACCUAACAGGAGAAAAAGAAAAGCCAAACGUAGAAAGAGAGAGAGAGAGAGAGAGGAAUUCGAGGCGAUGCGAUCGUGGUGGCUGCGGCUUUGGGGCAGCCCAUACGCGGCGGUGCUGGCGGUAGAGGAAGAAGAAUUAGGUCGUUAAUGGCCUAUUUGCUGCAAAUGAAUUGGCAGCCGAAUCUGCUCAGCCAGAGACGCAAAACUGGUCCUCCGUUAGGGCUCAAAAACCUUGGCAAUACCUGUUAUCUCAACUCGGUUCUUCAGUGCCUCACUUACACCCCUCCCCUUGCCUUUUUCUGCCUCCAAUCUCAACAUUCCUCUUCUUGUGAUUCUGGAGCUGCAGCUGCUUCAGAGAAGAAGAGUGAAUGUCCUUUCUGCAUAUUAGAGAAGCGAAUAGCUAGGUCUUUGAGUCUUGAAUCAGCCCUAGAUACUCCGUCUAAGAUUAAUCAUUGCUUAAAGAUUUUUGCCCAGCAUUUUAGGUAUGGGAGACAAGAGGAUGCCCAUGAAUUCUUGCGCUAUGUCAUUGACGCUUGCCACAACACCUGUUUGCGGUUGAAGAAGUUGCAGCAGCAAAGAAGGAAGGGUGGUGGUGCCGAUGGGAAUGGAAAUACCAUUGUUAAGGAAAUCUUCGGGGGUGCUUUACAGAGCCAGGUCAAGUGCUUGUCAUGUGGUGCUGAGUCAAAUAAGGUGGACGAGAUCAUGGAUAUAAGUCUUGAUGUGUUGCACAGUAGCUCCCUCAAAGAUGCUAUGCAGAGAUUUUUUCGGCCCGAGGUUUUGGAUGGCAACAAUAAGUACAAGUGUGAGAACUGUAAGAAAUUGGUGACAGCAAGGAAGCAAAUGUCGAUUCAUCAAGCGCCAAAUGUUCUUGUCAUUCAGCUCAAGAGGUUUGAAGGAAUAUAUGGUGGGAAGAUCGAUAAGCCUAUUGCUUUUGAGGAGUUUCUAGUGCUUUCAAGCUACAUGUGCAAAGCGAGUCAGGAUCCUCAUCCAGAAUACAAUCUUUUUGGAACUAUUGUCCACUCAGGCUUUUCACCGGAUUCAGGGCAUUAUUAUGCAUAUAUCAAGGAUGCUGUGGGUCGUUGGUACUGCUGUAAUGAUUCUUUUGUUUCUCUUUCAACCUUGCAAGAAGUGUUGUCAGAGAAGGUGUACAUCCUUUUCUUCUCUCGUACCAAGCAGAGGUCACCACUCACCAAGACAUGUUUAUCAGUUAAUGGGUCAAAGUUCAAUCAUUCCAAUGGCUUGGCUAGAUCCAAAAUCUCGACCUGUGACUUAGCAAAACCAGAAAAUGGCAAACACGUUUUAGGCCACCCCUCUGAGAAAGAAAAUGUAAUGACUUUUAAGGUCAGUAAAGUGCAUUCGAGCCCAGUGAGGGAGUUGAGCAUAUUUGAAAGAUCUUCCAUCAAGAAGAUACCUUCUUCUGGGAAUAUCAAAAUUGUUGUUCAUCAAAGAGAAUCUGACAAUAGAAAUGGUGAUGUGAGAGCAUCAGUUCUUACAGAGAAAGAGGUUACAUCAUUGCCAGACAGGAACGGUAUUAGGAAAAGUUGUGGUAAUGGUCAUAUGACAAGAUCACAUGCCUUAACACACGGAAAUGGGAAACUUCCGGGUGUAGCAACCAGCUCUGUAGCAGACGGUCCCCAUAAAGAUUAUGGUUUGAGUAAUGGAAAGACUGCAGGAAGGGAUUCAUCUGCCAAAGAGGCAAAUGGAAAUGGCAAAAUCCAGAGUGUCGCAACUAAUCCCUUAAGGGGAAAUGUGCGUAAAAAUAAUGGGGAGAAUAAUGAAAAGGCAGCUGAGGUGACUUCUGUACAAAAGGAGAUGUCAAAUGGCCGUGUUGAAUCCUCUUCUAUCUCAGGUUCAAAGAGAAAAUUACCAGAUGACUGCAUCCUGCUUGAGCAAGAUGCUCAGUCUCGUGCGAAGGUGGAAGAAUUAAAAAAGGAGCUCCAUAAGGAGGCUUCAUUAGUUUUAAGAACGUGUGGUUGGUCGGAAGAAGUCUAUGCUUUUAUGCAUUCCAAGAAAUCGGGGGCACAAGCAGACAAUGAAGCAUCAGACUUUAAUGUGAAGAAGAGGUUAUUAAUUGCAGAUGCCAAAUCAAUGUUUAUCUCACGAAUUCCUGAAUCAUUGAAGGGUAGUCUUAUCAAACGCCUAACAUCAAUUAGUCAAGGAAAACCACCCUCCAGUACUUAAGCACUCACACAUGGUAUGUGCAGAAGCAUAGUGGUCUUUUCAGGUUUCGAGUCCAUCGACGGUGGUGCUGAUUUGCUUGGUCUGUAUUUUUUGUCACUCGGAGAUGUGAUGUUAGUUUGUGGUAAUGUGGUUGCGAAUGGAUUGCUAGUGCAGUAUAUACCAUGGCGGAGAAGGUAGCACAUGAUAAGUUGUCUUUGAUUUUGUUCACUUCGCCAUUGUGUGUCCGAAUGGUGUUCUGUGUUCUAUCAGUUAAAAGAGGAAAUCAUAGCACUAACAUCGUAUUCUGGUUGCGAAUUUCCUUGCGAGACUAGAGUCUGCCGAUAGAACACGUAAAUUCUAUUCGUGCUGUACGACAUGCCCUUUUUGGCCUUUGCUGAGCAUGUAUUCCUCAUUUUAUGGAUGCUUAACAAUUUUUCCAUAAAAUUGUGGUCGGGUUGUAUUCUUGUCUAGAGUUGAGGUUUUACUUUUAAACAGACAUGAUAAUACCACUAGAUAAUUGUUAAGGUAAUUCCAUAUUCAUAGUUUUGUAACCCAAAUUUCUUGUACGUACUGCUAUCAUAUGUUCCUCGUCUCUGUUGAGUCUAUACUAGGAAAAAAUAAUGGGUGUUCCUUCUAGCAAUUUAUUUGCAGCUGUUUGUUAUUGAA